rnacentral:rRNA from 1 species
CCUACGGGGGGCUGCAGUGGGGAAUAUUGCACAAUGGGCGCAAGCCUGAUGCAGCAACGCCGCGUGAGGGAUGACGGCCUUCGGGUUGUAAACCUCUUUCAGUAGGGAAGAAGCGAAAGUGACGGUACCUACAGAAGAAGCACCGGCUAACUACGUGCCAGCAGCCGCGGUAAUACGUAGGGUGCGAGCGUUGUCCGGAAUUAUUGGGCGUAAAGAGCUUGUAGGCGGUUUGUCGCGUCUGCUGUGAAAAUCCGGGGCUCAACCCCGGACUUGCA